rnacentral:rRNA from 1 species
UGGGGAAUAUUGCACAAUGGGCGCAAGCCUGAUGCAGCCAUGCCGCGUGUAUGAAGAAGGCCUUCGGGUUGUAAAGUACUUUCAGCGGGGAGGAAGGUGUUGAGGUUAAUAACCUCAGCAAUUGACGUUACCCGCAGAAGAAGCACCGGCUAACUCCGUGCCAGCAGCCGCGGUAAUAAGGAGGGGGCAAGCGUUAAUCGGAAUUACUGGGCGUAAAGCGCACGCAGGCGGUCUGUCAAGUCGGAUGUGAAAUCCCCGGGCUCAACCUGGGAACUGCAUUCGAAACUGGCAGGCUAGAGUCUUGUAGAGGGGGGUAGAAUUCCAGGUGUAGCGGUGAAAUGCGUAGAGAUCUGGAGGAAUACCGGUGGCGAAGGCGGCCCCCUGGACAAAGACUGACGCUCAGGUGCGAAAGCGUGGGGAGCAAACA